rnacentral:rRNA from 1 species
GAAAAAAACAAAAGCCCUGGCACUGAUGGACUUCCUAUUGACUUUUAUCAGCACUUUUGGGAGUUGGUUAAAUGGGAUCUUAUGAAACUAUUAAAUGACUUUCAUGCUGGGAAGUUGGACACUGCUAGACUUAAUUAUGGAAUCAUCACUCUGGUUCCAAAGUCUGCUGAUGCUAAACAAAUCCAAAAAUUCAGACCAAUAUGCCUGCUCAAUGUUAGCUUUAAAAUCAUUACCAAGGUGCUGAUGAAUAGACUGAGCACGGUUAUUAAACCUAUAAUCCUACCAACUCAAACUGCCUUUAUAAAAGGCAGAUAUAUAAUGGAAGGGAUUGUAGUUUUGCAUGAAGCUCUGAACUCCAAUCAUAAAAAACAAAGUGAUGUUUUGUUUAAAGUGAACUUUGAGAAAGCCUAUGAUAAAAUAAAAUGGCCGUUUGUAUAUAAAAUGCAAAAAUUGAAACAAUUCCGGGACAAAUUUUGA